rnacentral:lncRNA from 1 species
AUCAUGAAUUCACAUAAGCUCAGCUGACUUUCUAAUGGUCAUGUUAUAUUUACAGCAUCUUGACACUAAACUGGCAGCUAUUACAGAAUAUCUUUAAAAACCAAUGUGAGAAUUAUACUUGAUCUACUACGCCAGAAAUUGAUCAUACAAGAGAAAAAUAUCAACUAAUUCUAUUACAACUUCUACGUAAUUGAUAGCCUAAUGAAUACUUACCCCUUUUGUAUAUGAUUUAUCCAUCAAAAGCUUGAUCCACCACAAGAAACUAUCAUUUUCAGCAUGCUACCAACAGCAGAAUCCCACUCUUUGGCCUAGAUCUUGUUGAUUUGUCCAACUGGUGGCCAAAUCUGCAGAAUAUAGCCAUGUGACCAACAACAGCACCCUUCAAUAUCCUCAUUCAAUAAUAUAUAUGCAGAAAAUAACUAUAGAAGCUCUAUAUAUAAAGCUAGAGCUGAAAUUGCAAACUUUAACCAUAUUGACAUCAACUUAUUCAUGCAACUUACACAUUCAGUUUUUAAAAGAAAAAUGUAAAUGCUAAAGUACAAAAUGAGUCUUUUUCAUUCAUGGACUAAACUUAUGCUACAUCACUUCACCUUAAAAAUCAAAUAACUCUAUUCUAAAGAGACUUUCAGCAGCACAAUCACAGUAAUAUACUUCAUUCAUCAUGGAAGAAAGCAAAUAAUGGACAGAUUUGAUAAUAAACCAGAUGCACAAACUGUUAAACAUAGGCGAAGCUUAAACAGAUUACAACUUCAGUUUCAUAUUUAAGAGAGGUUUCAGAUUGUGAUAUUACAUACCUAACAGUAAGUGGACAGAAAAAAAGGACCCAAAUAAAGGCCUAGAAAUCCAAAGAGAAAAGACCAACUUCAACAGCAAUAGCAAACAAAAGCACACCAGUAAUCCCCAGACCAAAUGAAGCUCCAAAGCCAACUUCUUGCCAAAUGAGAAAGGUUUUCUCCAAUUUUUGGAAAAAAACAUUUGAGUCUCAAAAUCAGUCUUAAAGGAAAAGGAUAUUCUGAGUCUCAUAAGCUUUUCUUUG